rnacentral:rRNA from 1 species
UCUGGUUGAUCCUGCCAGUAGUCAUAUGCUUGUCUCAAAGAUUAAGCCAUGCAUGUCUAAGUAUAAAUAGUAUACAGUGAAACUGCGAAUGGCUCAUUAAAACAGUUAUAGUUUAUUUGAUAAUUGACAAUUACAUGGAUAACCGUGGUAUUUCUAGAGCUAAUACAUGCUUAAACGCCCGACUUUAUGGAAGGGUGGUAUUUAUUAGACUGAAGCCAAUAUUCCUUGUGUCUAUUGCGGUGAUUCAUAAUAACUGAUCGAAUCUCUUUUUGAGAUAAAUCAUUCAAGUUUCUGCCCUAUCAGCUUUCGAUGGUAGUGUAUUGGACUACCAUGGCAGUAACGGGUAACGAAGAAUUAGGGUUCGAUUUCGGAGAGGGAGCAUGAGAAACGGCUACCACAUCUAGGGAAGGCAGCAGGCGCGUAAAUUACCCAAUCCUGACUCAGGGAGGUAGUGACAAGAAAUAGCAAACCGGGAACCUCAUGGUUUCACGGUAUUGCAAUGAGAACAAUUUAAAACCCUUAGCGAGAAUCAAGUGGAGGACAAGUCUGGUGCCAGCACCCGCGGUAAUUCCAGCUCCACUAGCGUAUAUUAAAGUUGUUGCAGUUAAAAAGCUCGUAGUUGAACCUCUGUCUGGGGCUAGUUUUGGCUUUGGUCAGGCUAGUUCUAGGCAUCCGCCUACAAGACUUAGAGGGCAUUCAGUUGUUCACUAGGAGGAGUAGGCAUUUUACUUUGAAAAAAUUAGAGUGUUUAAGGCAGGCAAUCGCCCGCAUAUAUUAGCAUGGAAUAAUAGAAUAGGACACUUUUCCAUUUCGUUGGUUAUUGGAAUCGUGUAAUGAUUAAUAGGGACAGUUGUGGGCAUUUGUAUUUAAUUGUCAGAGGUGAAAUUCUUGGAUUUAUUAAAGACAAACUAACGCGAAAGCAUUUGCCAAGGAUGUUCUCAUUAAUCAAGAACGAAAGUUAGGGGAUCAAAGACGAUCAGAUACCGUCCUAGUCUUAACUAUAAACUAUUCCGACUCAGUGUUUGACUGGCUUAUAUAACCAGUUGAGCGUUGUAUGAGAAAUCAAAGUCUUUAGGUUCUGGGGGGAGUAUGGUUGCAAAGCUGAAACUUAAAGGAAUUGACGGAAGAGCACAACCAGGAGUGGAUUCUGCGGCUUAAUUUGACUCAACACGGGGAAACUUACCAGGUUAAAACAAUAGUGGGAUUGACAGUUUGAGAGCGCUUUCUUGAUUGGUUGGGUGGUGGUGCAUGGCCGUUCUUAGUUGGUGGAGUGAUUUGUCUGCUUAAUUGCGUUAACGAACGAGACCUUAACCUGCUUACUAGACUGGCGAUCAUCAAUCGUUAGCUCUUCUUAGAGGGACUUUGGUUGUUUUAACU